rnacentral:rRNA from 1 species
UACGUAGGGUGCGAGCGUUGUCCGGAAUUAUUGGGCGUAAAGAGCUCGUAGGUGGCGGGUCACGUCGGGUGUGAAAGCCCCGGGCUCAACCCGGGAAGUGCACUCGAUACUCCCAAGCUAGAGUAUCGGAGAGGUUGGCGGAAUUCUCGGUGUAGAGGUGAAAUUCGUAGAUAUCGAGAGGAACACCGGCGGCGAAGGCGGCCAACUGGACGAAUACUGACGCUGAGGAGCGAAAGCAUGGGGAGCGAACAGG